rnacentral:tRNA from 1 species
UCUCGCGUGGUCCAGCGGUUAGGAUUCCUGGUUUUCACCCAGGCAGCCUGGGUUCACUCCCGGUGCGGGAG